rnacentral:rRNA from 1 species
AAAAAAGGUAAGCUACUAAGAGCGAAUGGUGGAUGCCUUGACUGGUAAAGGCGAUGAAGGACGUACUAGACUGCGAUAAGCUACGGGGAGCUGUCAAGAAGCUUUGAUCCGUAGAUUUCCGAAUGGGGCAACCCAAUGUAUAGAGAUAUACAUUACCUAUAUAGGAGCGAACGAGGGGAAUUGAAACAUCUUAGUACCCUCAGGAAAAGAAAUCAAUAGAGAUUGCGUCAGUAGCGGCGAGCGAAAGCGCAAGAGGGCAAACCCAGUGCUUGCACUGGGGGUUGUAGGACUGCAAUGUGCAAGAGGUGAGUUUAGCAGAACAUUCUGGAAAGUAUAGCCAUAGAGGGUGAUAGUCCCGUAUGCGAAAAACAAACCUUAGCUAGCAGUAUCCUGAGUAGGGCGGGACACGAGGAAUCCUGUCUGAAUCCGGGUCGACCACGAUCCAACCCUAAAUACUAAUACCAGAUCGAUAGUGCACAAGUACCGUGAGGGAAAGGUGAAAAGAACUGAGGUGAUCAGAGUGAAAUAGAACCUGAAACCAUUUGCUUACAAUCAUUCAGAGCCCUAUGUAGCAAUACAGGGUGAUGGACUGCCUUUUGCAUAAUGAGCCUGCGAGUUGUGGUGUCUGGCAAGGUUAAGCAAACGCGAAGCCGUAGCGAAAGCGAGUCUGAAUAGGGCGCUUAGUCAGAUGCUGCAGACCCGAAACGAAGUGAUCUAUCCAUGAGCAAGUUGAAGCUAGUGUAAGAACUAGUGGAGGACUGAACCCAUAGGCGUUGAAAAGCCCCGGGAUGACUUGUGGAUAGGGGUGAAAGGCCAAUCAAACUUCGUGAUAGCUGGUUCUCUCCGAAAUAUAUUUAGGUAUAGCGUUGUGUCGUAAUAUAAGGGGGUAGAGCACUGAAUGGGCUAGGGCAUACACCAAUGUACCAAACCCUAUCAAACUCCGAAUACCUUAUAUGUAAUCACAGCAGUCAGGCGGCGAGUGAUAAAAUCCGUCGUCAAGAGGGAAACAACCCAGACUACCAGCUAAGGUCCCUAAAUCUUACUUAAGUGGAAAACGAUGUGAAGUUACUUAAACAACCAGGAGGUUGGCUUAGAAGCAGCCAUCCUUUAAAGAAAGCGUAAUAGCUCACUGGUCUAGUGAUUUUGCGCGGAAAAUAUAACGGGGCUAAAGUAAGUACCGAAGCUGUAGACUUGAUUUUAUCAAGUGGUAGGAGAGCGUUCUAUUUGCGUCGAAGGUAUACCGGUAAGGAGUGCUGGAGCGAAUAGAAGUGAGCAUGCAGGCAUGAGUAGCGAUAAUUAAUGUGAGAAUCAUUAACGCCGUAAACCCAAGGUUUCCUACGCGAUGCUCGUCAUCGUAGGGUUAGUCGGGUCCUAAGUCGAGUCCGAAAGGGGUAGACGAUGGCAAAUUGGUUAAUAUUCCAAUACCAACAUUAGUGUGCGAUGGAAGGACGCUUAGGGCUAAGGGGGCUAGCGGAUGGAAGUGCUAGUCUAAGGUCGUAGGAGGUUAUACAGGCAAAUCCGUAUAACAAUACUCCGAGAACUGAAAGGCUUUUUGAAGUCUUCGGAUGGAUAGAAGAACCCCUGAUGCCAUCGAGCCAAGAAAAGUUUCUAAGUUUAGCUAAUGUUGCCCGUACCGUAAACCGACACAGGUGGGUGGGAUGAGUAUUCUAAGGCGCGUGGAAGAACUCUCUUUAAGGAACUCUGCAAAAUAGCACCGUAUCUUCGGUAUAAGGUGUGGUUCGCUUCGUAUUAGGAUUUACUCCGAAAGCGAAGAAACUUACAACAAAGAGUCCCUCCCGACUGUUUACCAAAAACACAGCACUCUGCUAACUCGUAAGAGGAUGUAUAGGGUGUGACGCCUGCCCGGUGCUCGAAGGUUAAUUGAUGGGGUUAGCAUUAGCGAAGCUCUUGAUCGAAGCCCGAGUAAACGGCGGCCGUAACUAUAACGGUCCUAAGGUAGCGAAAUUCCUUGUCGGUUAAAUACCGACCUGCAUGAAUGGCGUAACGAGAUGGGAGCUGUCUCAAAGAGGGAUCCAGUGAAAUUGUAGUGGAGGUGAAAAUUCCUCCUACCCGCGGCAAGACGGAAAGACCCCGUGGACCUUUACUACAGCUUGACACUGCUAUUUGGAUAAGAAUGUGCAGGAUAGGUGGGAGGCUUUGAGUAUAUGACGCCAGUUGUAUAUGAGCCAUUGUUGA